UGCAAGUCGAACGGCAGCACGGGUGCUUGCACCUGGUGGCGAGUGGCGAACGGGUGAGUAAUACAUCGGAACGUACCUUAUCGUGGGGGAUAACGCAGCGAAAGCUGUGCUAAUACCGCAUACGCCCUGAGGGGGAAAGCGGGGGAUCGAAAGACCUCGCGCGAUUAGAGCGGCCGAUGCCUGAUUAGCUUGUUGGUGGGGUAAAAGCCCACCAAGGCGACGAUCAGUAGCUGGUCUGAGAGGACGAUCAGCCACACUGGGACUGAGACACGGCCCAGACUCCUACUGGAGGCAGCAGUGGGGAAUUUUGGACAAUGGGGGCAACCCUGAUCCAGCAAUGCCGCGUGAGUGAAG
rnacentral:rRNA from 1 species